rnacentral:sRNA from 1 species
GCUGGGUGUGGUGGUGCACAUCUGUAAUCCCAGUGACUUGAGAGGCAGAGGCAGGAGGAUUAUAAAUUUGAGGUCAGCCUCGGCAAUUUAGCAAGACCCUCAGAAUUUAUCAAGACCCUGUCUCAA